ensembl:lncRNA
GCCCUCCCGGUGCCCGUGGGGGACGCGGAGCCCCGCGCCGCGGAGAGAAGGGCAGCGCGCGGGAGAAGGCAAAAAAUCCGGCGUUGUUUCCCAACUGCACCCAAAAACCGUCAGAGCCCGAAGCGGCGCGGUGCCGCCUUGGGGGGGUGGGGAGGGGUUGUUAUUAUUAUCAUUAAUUUGCUUGAAUAAAUGCGAAGGGUGCACAAAGCGCUCCGGCCAGCCCGGGCCGCGGCCAACUUUGCGGGCAGCAGUUCGCUCUGCUCUCUAUUAUCUGCACAGCCGUUGAUCUUUUUUUCCCCCGCCAUUCUCUUUCUUCUUUCCUUUUCCCCCCUUUAUUUUUCUUUGCUUUAUUAUUUUUUCCUUUCUUUUUCUUGUUUUCUUUCUUUCUUUUUUUUUUCCUUUUUCUUUUUUGCCCUUAAUUUUAUUUUUGCAAAGGCGGCGUUCUGCCUCGCAAUAAUUACCAAUCGCAGACAGCGCUAUAAAUCCCCUCAUUUUCUGUGCUGGAAAAGCAUUUGCAAAGAGCUGUGGGGUGCAGGAGGGGAAAUAAAAGACAGAAGGAGGGCGGCGGGGCUGCGGGGUGCGCGGAGCCCGGCGCUGUGCAUGGCACAGAGCUCCGCUCGCCGCCGGCUCUCUGCAGGAAACGUAAAAUCUGAUCAAGUUCAGAGGCGCAUUGAGAGCAGCGCUUCAAGCAGCGCUUUAUAACCGCGGCCCUUUCACAUCGUUCCCCCCAAUCAGCCCCCGGGAAAAGCCUUCGCCUUCUUUAUUUUAAGGGUUUGCAGGGAGCGAAAAAAAAAAAAAAAAGAGAGAGAGAGAGAAAAAAAAAAAAACCACCGCUAUAAAAUCUCCCCGAGGUCCCACCGGUGCUCGGUAACGCUCCCAUUGCCCAGGCCACGAUGUUGUGUCACCAGCAGCUAACAGAAGCGAUGCAACUCUGAACUUGGGUCUUGGAAGGGCCUGCUACCAGCCCAGAGUGGAGACAAGAGAACUGUGUCACCCAGAAGGACACAAGCCUGAGGGCAGGCUGGGGCACUGCCAGGGACCGACAUGCCCCACGUCCACCCUGCAAGAGCAAAGUCACCCUUUCCUACCUAACCAAGCAGCCCCCUAUGCAGGCUGGGCAGUGCUCAGAGCAGCCCUGCUGGAGGUUUGGCACUGGCUUUACCUUCCAGUUAAAUCAUUAUUUAAGAAGAAACAAAGAUGUUGCUGGGUUGAACAAGGCCGAAACCAGGCUUUAGAGAAGUUGCCCCAGAAACAGGCAUGGAAAGAUCUCCUCCAUUGCCCCAUAUCCCUCUGAAGGCACAUGGAGGGCAUCCCAGGAGGAGGUUAUCAGUCAUCGGACAUCAACCACAGGACACAGAUGGAGCGAUCAGACUGAAAAGCCAAUGUUCCGUCCAGACAGAGAUCAACCAUUGCAUUUCUGUUUCUCCAGCAAAUCACGGGCAGUUUGGGCUUUUGUGAAUGCACACAUGCACACAGACACACGUGGAUCUUGUACACCUUUUUUUUUUUUCCCCUGCAAAAAUAACUUUGAAAGCAUCGCUGACGAAAAACCCUUUGUUACGUUUUCUUAUCUGCUAAAAAG